CUAAUAUCAAGAACAACUUCAUCUUCCACCGUACGCCUAGACAGCUGUAAAAUCUCCUAACACCGGCUGACGCAAGCUCUCGACUCCUGUUCCUCUUCCUGUAUCCGUGAAGAUUAUGGGCCUAAUCGAUGGAACACACAUUCCAGUUCUUCCCCCCACAGAUGGGUACAAAGAUUUUGUAAAUAGAAAAGGCUGGCCCUCCUACGUGCUUCAAGGAGUAGUUGAUGACAAAGGCUGCUUCUGGAACAUCAGCUGCAAAAUGCCUGGGAGCGCACAUGAUGCCACUGUGCUUCGUCAAUCUGAGCUCUUUCAGAAGGCUCACCUCCUGCCCAAGGGUGUGAAAAACAUUGAGGGAGAAGAAGUCUGACUCCUGGUUGUUGGUGACCCUGCUUACCCCUUACUUGACUGGUUAAUUAAAGGGUACACAAACUCCCCCAACCUGACACCAGAGCAGGAGUCAUUCAGUGUUUACCUUAGCUCACUUAGGGUAGGGGUAGAGAUGGCUUUUGGCAAGUUAAAAUCAAGGUGGCGAGUACGGCUAAAAAGAAGUGACUUUCACUUCUCAUUCGCACCUACGAUGAUUGCCACAUGCUGUGCUUUGCACAAUUUUUGUGAUAAGAAGAAAGAUGGCGUCAGUAUUAACUGGCUGGAAGUUCAACCAGUUAAUGUAUCUACCAGCAACAGUGGCAUCAAUGCAAGGGAGGUACUAACCAAGUAUUUAGCCAGUCAAUUUCCCCUUCGACAGGGUCACUUACACUAAACAAUUCAGAGUAACUGCAGAUUUUAAAUCAACAUACUAUGUAUAGUCAUAUGUAAAUGUUACAACACCCCUUGGUCAAAUUGCAUGUUCUGUUAAAACUUUAGGUUAAAAUAACUACACAUGUGCAGAGAGAAAAAAAAAAUUUAUCUUUAAGUUAAUAUAUUGUGGAAAAAAACUGGCAUGCAUCAAAGGUAAAGAGACACUGUUUUAUUUUUCAAUAUUUGAAGUUCAGCGACG